UUGAACGCUGGCGGCAGGCCUAACACAUGCAAGUCGAGCGGCAGCGCGGGGCAACCUGGCGGCGAGCGGCGAACGGGUGAGUAACGCGUAGGAAUCUACCCAGUAGCGGGGGAUAGCCCGGGGAAACUCGGAUUAAUACCGCAUACGCACUAAGGGGGAAAGCAGGGGAUCUUCGGACCUUGCACUAUUGGAAGAGCCUGGGUUGGAUUAGCUAGUUGGUAGGGUAAGGGCCUACCAAGGCGACGAUCCAUAACUGGUCAGAGAGGAUGAUCAGUCACACCGGAACUGAUACACGGACCGGACUCCUACGGGAGGCAGCAGUGGGGAAUAUUGAACAAGGGGGGCAACCCUGAUCCAGCCAUGCCGCGUGUGUGAAGAAGGCCUUCGGGUUGUAAAGCACUUUAAGUGGGGAGAAAGGCUACAAAGUUAAUACCUUUGGGGAUUGAUGCUACCCACAGAAUAAGCACCGGCUAACUCUGUGCCAGCAGCCGCGGUAA
rnacentral:rRNA from 1 species